UAUUUUUUUCAAAAAUUAAAAUUAAAAUUUAAAAAAUUUAUAAUUUGUAAUAUUAAAAUUAAAAUUUUAUAGUUUUAAAUUCUAAAUUUUAAAUUGAUAUUUUACAUUUUUUAAAUUUAAAAUUGAUAUUUUAGAUUUUUAAAUUUAUAUUUAUUCUUAAAUAUAAAAUUUUAUAUUUAAAAUUUAGAACUUUGACUUUUUAAAUUUGAGAAAUAAAAAUUUAAAGUUAAAUUUUUAAUUUUUAAAAUUUAAAAAUUAGAUAUUUAAAUUUAAAAUUUAAAUAUAAAAUUUAAAUUCAAAUAUUAUAUAAUAGGUAAUAUCAUUAUUUUUUAUUUAUAAAUACCCACUAUNAUAUAAAAUUAGUCUAUUCCAGAUUUAUAUCUGAAUUUAUACUUAUUUCUGAAAUAGACAAUUUUAAUUUAUAUUCGUACACUACAACAAAAACGGUCUAUAGCGACACUUUUAAACGUAGGUACAUGUCAAAAAAGUGCUGCUAGCUAAAAUUACCGACACUUUUAAAAAGUAUUGCUAUAUGUGGGGUCGCUAGGUAUAUAGUGACAGUUAAAGAGUGUCGCUAUAACCUAAAAGAGUGCUACUAAUUUACCAACACUUAUUAAGCAUUUAGAAACCGCCGAAACUCUAUCUCGUUGGCUGCGGUGGCGGAGAAGGACGACAGGAAAGGCUCUUCGUCUAGAAUUUCAGUGGAUUGAGUGAAGAGAGAAGAAAAGAUGAUAAUUGAUUUUUCUUUUUUUUUUUUCUUUUCUGUUUGUAAUCGGACCAAAUGGACUAGGUGUGAUGGGUUGAGUAGAGUAAUCUUUUAUUUUUGAUUGGAUUGGGCUUUAUAUUUAGGCAUUAGUAGAUGCUUUUUUAAGUUUUAGUAUAAAUGAGAAACUUACUAAAAAAUGUUUCAAAUAUGUGUUUCUAUAACCUAAUUCUAUUGUAGUGGUACCAAACGAAACUCUAAG
rnacentral:lncRNA from 1 species